rnacentral:rRNA from 1 species
UCAUCGCAUGGACGAAGUCUGACGGAGCAACGCCGCGUGAGCGAUGAAGGCCUUCGGGUCGUAAAGCUCUGUUGUUAGGGAAGAACAAGUACCGUUCGAAUAGGGCGGUACCUUGACGGUACCUAACCAGAAAGCCACGGCUAACUACGUGCCAGCAGCCGCGGUAAUACGUAGGUGGCAAGCGUUAUCCGGAAUUAUUGGGCGUAAAGCGCGCGCAGGCGGUUCCUUAAGUCUGAUGUGAAAGCCCACGGCUCAACCGUGGAGGGUCAUUGGAAACUGGGGAACUUGAGUGCAGAAGAGGAAAGCGGAAUUCCACGUGUAGCGGUGAAAUGCGUAGAGAUGUGGAGGAACACCAGUGGCGAAGGCGGCUUUCUGGUCUGUAACUGACGCUGAGGCGCGAAAGCGUGGGGAGCAAACAGGAUUAGAUACCCUGGUAGUCCACGCCGUAAACGAUGAGUGCUAAGUGUUAGAGGGUUUCCGCCCUUUAGUGCUGCAGCUAACGCAUUAAGCACUCCGCCUGGGGAGUACGGCCGCAAGGCUGAAACUCAAUGAAAAUUGACGGA